rnacentral:ncRNA from 2 species
UACAGAGGGUGCAAGCGUUAAUCGGAAUUACUGGGCGUAAAGCGCGCGUAGGCGGUUUGUUAAGUCAGCUGUGAAAGCCCCGGGCUCAACCUGGGAAUUGCUGUUGAUACUGGCAAGCUAGAGUGUGGUAGAGGGUAGUGGAAUUCCAGGUGUAGCGGUGAAAUGCGUAGAUAUCUGGAGGAACAUCAGUGGCGAAGGCGGCUACCUGGACCAACACUGACGCUGAGGUGCGAAAGCGUGGGGAGCAAACAGG